ACCAGCAGCUCCAACUCACGGACGCACCUUCUUAGCCAAGCCUGCUGGCCCCUGCCUCGCCUCAGCAAUGGAACGCACCCAGACACGGUGAGCCUGUAGCGCCCGACUCACGCAGGGUUUAACCACUGUUGGGUCCCAAUCUCUUGGGUCUCUCCGACAACCUUAUUGCCCCAAGCUUUGGUCACAGGCUCGCGCUACCGAGCCCGGC